UACGUAGGGUCCGAGCGUUGUCCGGAAUUACUGGGCGUAAAGAGCUCGUAGGUGGUUUGUCGCGUUGUUCGUGAAAACUCACAGCUUAACUGUGGGCGUGCGGGCGAUACGGGCAGACUGGAGUACUGCAGGGGAGACUGGAAUUCCUGGUGUAGCGGUGGAAUGCGCAGAUAUCAGGAGGAACACCGGUGGCGAAGGCGGGUCUCUGGGCAGUAACUGACGCUGGAGGAGCGAAA
rnacentral:rRNA from 1 species